rnacentral:rRNA from 1 species
GUCUACGGCCAUACCACCCUGAACGCACCCGAUCUCGUCUGAUCUCGGAAGCUAAGCAGGGUCGGGCCUGGUUAGUACUUGGAUGGGAGAAAUUAUGCGUGUUGGAAACCACUGGUGCAGAGGGUG